AAUGUUUCGGUAGGUAAGGCUACUGCAGUUAGGAUACGGACUGAUACCGCGAAACGGUGGAGACACUGUAAGCAGGUUAACAGGUCACAUCGAACACAAGGUGUGAUUUAACUCAGUUUCAUUGCCCUGCAAAGCUAAAGCUUGAACGAAU
rnacentral:sRNA from 1 species